rnacentral:rRNA from 1 species
CAGGAACGCUGGCGGCAGGCUUAACACAUGCAAGUCGAACGGGCGUAGCAAUACGUCAGUGGCAGACGGGUGAGUAACACGUGGGAACCUUCCUCGUUGUACGGAACAACUCAGGGAAACUUGAGCUAAUACCGUAUACGUCCGAGAGGAGAAAGAUUUAUCGCAAUGAGACGGGCCCGCGUCGGAUUAGGUAGUUGGUGGGGUAACGGCCUACCAAGCCGACGAUCCGUAGCUGAUCUGAGAGGAUGAUCAGCCACACUGGGACUGAGACACGGCCCAGACUCCUACGGGAGGCAGCAGUGGGGAAUCUUGGACAAUGGGCGCAAGCCUGAUCCAGCCAUGCCGCGUGAGUGAAGAAGGCCUUAGGGUUGUAAAGCUCUUUUACCAGGGACGAUAAUGACGGUACCUGGAGAAUAAGCCCCGGCAAACUUCGUGCCAGCCGCCGCGGUAAUAC